UGGCGUGAGGGGUUUAUUCAGCUCCUGCCGGCAGCUGGCACGUCCCUGCCAGGCCAUGGUGGCAGCUCUGCCUUGCUGGAGGGUCGCUUUAUGGGAGAAGCACUGUCCCACACCCUGGAUCUUCAUGGCACUCUUCCGCUGCCCCACGACACCCCUCCUCUGCUGCAGACCCUCUCCCCUUUCCCCACAGGGGACUGGAGCCCUUUCACAGCUCAGUGCAAUCAGCCCACCACGGGUGCAGGGUCAUGUGCGGAUGGAAGGCAUUGGGAUCGCGGUGGCAGGAUGCGGCCGGCAGAGCUCCUCCUGAACCCCUCACUUGGUGACACAGUAUUUCCACAAGCAAGCUCUCUUGCUGGACUGGGGGGGGGCCUGGUCUGUCUGGGCAAAUCCCUGGCUCUGGAGAUCACCCACAGCCACCAUCUUCCAGAGGAAUGCAUCAAGGUCUUCACCCUGCUCCCCAUCCAUGGGUCCAUCUCACCGUGAGCUCUGGGACUCACCGCUGCCACGAGCUGCUCUGUGGUCAUGGCUCGCUCCUUCCCCCAGUGCAGGCAGAGCCUGGUUCAGGUUCCUGAAUGGCCGGAGUCCUGCUGCAGGCUUGCUCUCAGCCAUGAAGCCACCUGCACUGUCAGCCAGGCUAAAAUCCAUCGGCAUGAGGUGUCCUUACCUUGGGCUCUGUCGCUCUCAGGGUAGGCAGGGUAAGCGCUGCUGCAGCAAGCCUCCAGCAGUAGUGCCAAGGUGACAACCAUCCUCUGGGGAGGCAUCUCCUC
rnacentral:lncRNA from 1 species